GUCAUUCCACGCUGGAAUGAACUGAAAACACAAAUACUAGCCUGGUUCAAAAUUUGGAUCUCACAACUGUGUGCCAUAUUAGCACGUAUGCUUGCAUCUGGGUUUGUAACAAUGUGGAAGGCCAGAGAUAUUCCAAGCGGUUAAACGAGAGACAUUUCCAGGUGGUAUCGACUUGAGGCAUUUCCGGGAUGUGCUUUUGUUGGCAAUGGGAGUGAAGAAAAGAAAUCUUUUGUUUCAGAUUGCAGGUUUUGGCUUUCUACAGUUUAUGGGAGAUUCUCAAGUUGCCCCACAUCAUCAUCAUCAACAAUAG